CAUCCAAAAAUUUUGAUUGAUGACUGAAAUCAGGAAACAUAUUACCACCUUUCGGUGUAAUAAAGAUUUAGAAAAUGCAGGGAUCGAUCCGGGUUUUUGUCGAUAGAAAGGUGGCAACCCCUUAUAUAAAAGAAUACAUACUGAUAGAAGAACGAAUGAUACCGGCCAAACUCCUGCUACAACAUAAACACUAUUAAUGGGUUGUAGUAGCACUUUAUAGUUAUAGUCCAAACGACUGGAUAAGGUUCCCCAGAGCCAAAGAAACGAUAACCAAAGUUGUUGAACUCCUUGUAAAACACAAGCACGUGUGAUCGAAGAUCCCAACCCCGAACAAUGUUCAUCUUCAAAAUUCAGAGUGAAAUACAAUGGCCCACUCGCAGCAGCUAUUGCAUAAACCCAUGUCGCAGCGUAACUUAGCCAUCCACGAAUAUGGUAAGGUAGUGACAUAGAUGAAAUGCCAGUAAACAGGAAAGCCAAAGCAUACACUGCAAAAGGAAGCGAUAAGGAAUGAACACUUGGAAGGUUCCGAUACAAACCCCACCAAACAAUCGUUGAAAGAAUAAAAACGCCUGUGAUUACGUACAAAGAUAUUUGAUUAUUAUCUUCAAAUCCUGAUAAAAGAGAAAGUUGAAACGAUGAAAUAGAUAAAAUUUGGCCUAACGAGAGGAAGAUUGUGUAAAGCGGCCAAGUGAAAACUUUAAGAUAUAGAAUUCUUUGAUAAAUGUUUAGUCGAGUACUAGCCGCACUCUUAUAUCGGGGUUUCGUGUAAGCAUUUAAAGGAAGUUGGUUUACCAAGUCAUCAUCAGGGUCCACAUCUUUAGACUUUUUGUCUUUGAUCUUUAAAUAUUUGUAAACACGCUUCCUAAAUCCUGUCUUGUAAUAGUGAUGUUCUUCGUCAUGCCAACGUGAUUGGACUUUGUUCAAGAAAUGAUCGAUAGAUAAUUUUCCUUUUGAGUUUUCAGGAGUCAAAUAAGUUAACUCAGCAGAAAAAUCCCUUAUUGCAACGCCAUUUGCAUCGAUAAAGCGUUCAUCAAGCCUAGAACCUAUAUUCAUGGAACUCUCAGAUAUGUAAGAUAAUUCGGAAAGUGCUGAACUACUUAG